AGCCAGACUCCUACGGGAGGCAGCAGUGACGAAUAUUGGUCAAUGGUCGGGAGACUGAACCAGCCAAGCCGCGUGAGGGAUGAAGGUACAGAGUAUCGUAAACCUCUUUUGUCAGGGAACAAAGGCGGGGACGCGUCCCCGGAUGAGUGUACCUGAAGAAAAAGCAUCGGCUAACUCCGUGCCAGCAGCCGCGGUAAUACGGAGGAUGCGAGCGUUAUCCGGAUUUAUUGGGUUUAAAGGGUGCGCAGGCGGUCUGUUAAGUCAGCGGUCAAAUGUCGGUGCUCAACGCCGGCCUGCCGUUGAAACUGGUCGUCUUGAGUGAGCGAGAAGUAUGCGGAAUGCGUGGUGUAGCGGUGAAAUGCAUAGAUAUCACGCAGAACUCCGAUUGCGAAGGCAGCAUACCGGCGCCCAACUGACGCUGAAGCACGAAAGCGUGGGUAUCGAACAGGAUUAGAUACCCGGGUAA
rnacentral:rRNA from 1 species